GCCUGGAUAGCUCGGUUGGUUUGAGCGUGGCGCUGAUAACACCAAGGUUGCAGGUUCGGAUCCCUGUAUGGGACA
rnacentral:tRNA from 1 species